GUGAACGCUGGCGGUAGGCCUAACACAUGCAAGUCGAACGGCAGCACAGUAAGAGCUUGCUCUUACGGGUGGCGAGUGGCGGGCGGGUGAGGAAUACAUCGGAAUCUGCUUUUUCGUGGGGGAUAACGUAGGGAAACUUACGCUAAUACCGCAUACGACCUACGGGUGAAAGCAGGGGAUCUUCGGACCUUGCGCGAUUGAAUGAGCUGAUGUCGGAUUAGCUAGUUGGCGGGGUAAAGGCCCACCAAGGCGACGAUCCGUAGCUGGUCUGAGAGGAUGAUCAGCCACACUGGAACUGAGACACGGUCCAGACUCCUACGGGAGGCAGCAGUGGGGAAUAUUGGACAAUGGGCGCAAGCCUGAUCCAGCCAUACCGCGUGGGUGAAGAAGGCCUUCGGGUUGUAAAGCCCUUUUGUUGGGAAAGAAAAGCAGCAGGUUAAUACCCCGCUGUUCUGACGGUACCCAAAGAAUAAGCACCGGCUAACUUCGUG
rnacentral:rRNA from 1 species